UCUCCAUCUACUGUGUGAGAGAAGAAUAGAUAAAAAGGAAAGAAAAGUUAAAACCAAACAGAACACACCUGAAAAGAAAGAAAGGAAAGGAAGAAACCAAAAUUCCUUCUUAGCAGCUGGUCUGAAGUCGGGGACAGUCUCAUGGGACUGAGUUCUCAUCCUGUGGGGUCUAAUGCUAUAGCCAUGCAGAAGGGUCAGAAUGACGAUGUCCCCCGCCGCCCCCACCCCACCCCAGGCACUGCUGUAGUCUGAUUGCCUGUGUGCUAGUGGGAGAAAUACCCCCCACACUUAGGAUUACAGAACUGGACUGUGCUGUGAGAGUACUGUAGAAGACUGUGGGCGUGGCCUGUGUCCCUCCCCCCACCCCCAACCCACUCCCAUUCACCAGUAGAGCCCAUGAAGCAUUUCUUUUAUUCAUAGAAAUCUAUUUGUUCUUAAAUACUUAAUGAAUGUAUGAAAGGAGGUAGAGAGAGAGAGAGGGAGGGAGACCGACAGACGGACAGACCAACAGGUCUGAGCUGCUGACACACUAGCUCAAUCUAUUGAGGGACUAAGGGAUCAGCUUGUUAUCAACAGCCAUGUUCAGCCAAACUUAGAGGCAUCUAAAGGUCUUCAUGCACCGCCCAAUCCAGGGGGGUAGAGCAGGACCGCACCAGCAGUGGGAAGGCCUUGAUGGGAUCGGAGCCCUGAGUAGAUGCUGUUUUCCUCUGAUUCCAUGGCACAAAUAAGCUCCUGUAUACGGAGGAAAGAGGUGGCACCUGGGAGCAGCCUGAUGUUUGAUCUUGAUUAUUAACUUGAUGGGAUUUACAAUCACCAUGGAAACGAGCUUCCUGACACAUCUGUGAGGGAGUUGCUAGUUAAUUGAGCUGGGGAGGCCCACACUAACUGUGGGUGGCGAUAGUCUGUGAGCUGCCUGCCUUUCAGGCUGAGUAAGAAGGCGACUGGGAGCUGAACAUCAGCACUGGUCAGCAUCCAGCUUGCCUCCUGCCCGUUGAUACCAUACAAUGGGCUGCCUCAAACUCCCGUCGCCAUGACUUCCCCCUCAAACUGGGAGCCAAAAUUAACCCCUUUUUGUUCCAGCAAUAGGCAAAGCAGCUAAAUACAAACAGGUACAGUCUGGAAGGACCAAGGAUCAAUAUCUGGAAGGCCCCAGUCAAUCGGGGACUGAUCAAUGGCAGAACACAUGGGUAAGAGGGGAACUGUAUUUUCUUAACACUGAAGUCAUCUGAAUAAUGAGGCUUGCCCGUGGUACCCUAGAACAGUGUUUUAUCACAUAGUCCAAAGUAGAGGGCAUCUCUCACAGUGAUUAUACAAAUAUAUCUUAGUUUGAAUCUAGAGUGUUCAUGUCCUCAAAUUCUAUGUACAGCCUCACGUCGUUUGAUUGCAUCAAUUAAAAUACAGGGUAACUACCACUCUGUCCUCUGUAGGAAGUGUCAGAACAUCUGCUGGUUUGCAAGCAGCCCCUCCCCUUGGUGUGACUUCGAUUGCCUUCUCCUUACCUUCUUAACUCCUCCCCCUUCCUCCCCAUUUAACAGCACCUGAAACAAGCCUGACACAUAGGUCAUAGGUCCCUGCAUUGCCUGGGUUUUGUUUACACCCAUUUGACUACGGGGAGAUGGGAAACAUAAAGAAGGUUUGAGUUAUUUAGGUACCAAACAAUGUUCUGGAAGGAAAUGCUUCAAUAAAUACUUAGCUGAAACAUGCCAAGUGAAUAAUCAAAAAGAUAAAGCUGUAGAAAGGGGCAAGGGUGGUGGAGAGGACACAAGAAGGCCCCUGCCAGGUGCGUGAGAUGCUUGCUGAGAGCCUGUCCAAGUUUGGCUUACACCAGCAGAGCUUUUAAUUCUGAGAAGAAGAGACUCUGUCAGGCUGCAGACAAGCGAGGGUGGCCAUGAGAGCCACGAGGGAGCCACUAGGAAUUCUUCUAUUCUGUAGUCUGUAUUCUGGGCUCAAAGGCCUGAGACCAUUUCUUCUCCCUCGCACUGACUUCUGUAGUUCACUCCCUUUCAGUUCUCCCAAGAAUUGUGAGUCCUGGAGGGUAGGUGGUCCUUGCCUUCCCCUCUUCCUCCUACGUUUCCUGCCCCAGGGCAACCUUGGCUGAGGAGCCUCUAGUCUGGCAGGCUCUGGGGUGGGUUUGAAUGUGCUUGGCCUGGGGAGUGGCACUAUUAGGAGGUGUGGCCUUGUUGGAGGAAGUGUGUCAGUGGGGUUGGGGAGGACUUUGAGGCCCUCCUCCUAACUGCCUAGAAGACAGACUGCUCCUGUCUUCUUUUAGAACAAGCUGUAGACCUCUCAGCUCCUUCUCCAGCACCAUGCCUGCCUGGGAUGCUGCCAUGCUUCCCGCCAUGAUGAUAAUGGACUGAACCUCUGAACCUGUAAGCCAGCCCCAGUUAAACUUUGUCCUUUAUAAGAGGUCUUGGUGUCUCUUCACAGCAAUAAAACCCUAAAUAAGACAGACACCUAGGACCAUCUUCACCUGUAAAGGUCUUCACAUGUGGGUGGCUUAAAACAUGCAAGGGUGGGGAUUGUAGGUUUAUGGUGACAUCCAUCUGUAAUCCUAGUACUGAGGUAGAAGGAUAGAGUUUGAGGCUAGCCUGAGCUACAUAGCAACCUGCCCAACAUUCUGGGUCACAAAGUGAUUUCUUGUCUCAAAAACAAAAACCAAAUAAUAAAAUAUAAACAAGACGUGUGAGGGGACAGGGACAUUCUGAAGCUCCAUGGCAGAGUUUGCCUAGCACACUAAAGACUCUGGUUCAAUUCCCCAUGGAGGGGUAAAGAGCUCACUCAGACCAGUGCUGGACACCUCAUUCCUGCCCACUACUACUAGGCGCCAGGGCUGCCGAGCUGGACCAGGCCUCAGCUGCAAAGCAAGGUGAGGACAGGGUAUCUCAGGUCUAGCCAAUCACAUCUGCAGGACUGGGCCAGACCUCCGUGCUCCGGAGGAGACUGGAUGCAGCCUGUUCAUUGCCUCCUGUGAUGGCCUCUGUGUGCUCCUGUUGCCUUCAGUCCUCCUUGUGCUCAAAGUCUCCGAUUUUCAAACCUUUAUUCUCCCAACACAAUGUUUCUUUAGAGGCAGGGCAGAAGAAGAAACCCGAAAAGCUGAAAGCCCAGCGUCCUGCAUCUUACAUGGGCCCAGUAGGUACCAGAGUCCAGCUUCGGUCCAGAGCAACUAGGUGUUGGGAGGAUGCUGGCCAUGUCCCAGGAGGCGGGUCUGUUCUUGGGCUUUGAUCCCUGCUCCGGCGUGUGUGCAGGGGCAGGGCAAGUAGUCUCAGACUCUAGAGCUGCCCCCUCAGAGUGGCAGGGGAUUGCUCAGCUCUUUGACCUCUGGUAACCUAAUUAACUAGGUGGCCAACAGGAGACUGCGCAGAUCGCAGGUCGCAGAUCGCAUCACUCCAACCUCCCGAUUACCUGGCCACCACGUUGUGGGCAGAAGAGUCCUGCCUGCCGGCCAUGGAACGCCGUGUGAGAGUGAAGUCUUGGGUAGAAGAGAAUCGGGCCUCCUUUCAGCCUCCGGUUUGCAACAAGCUUAUGCACCAGGAGCAGCUCAAAAUCAUGUUCGUUGGAGGCCCCAAUACCAGGAAGGAUUAUCACAUUGAAGAGGGUGAGGAGGUGUUUUACCAGCUGGAGGGAGACAUGAUACUACGAGUCCUGGAGCAGGGGCAACACCGGGACGUGCCUAUACGGCAGGGAGAGAUAUUCCUCCUGCCUGCCAGGGUGCCCCACUCCCCGCAGAGGUUUGCCAACACCAUGGGGCUGGUGAUUGAGAGAAGGCGGCUGGAGAGCGAGCUGGAUGGGCUGAGGUAUUACGUGGGGGACACUGAGGAUGUCCUCUUCGAGAAAUGGUUCCACUGUAAGGACCUUGGCACGCAGUUAGCACCCAUCAUCCAAGAGUUCUUCCACUCUGAGCAAUACCGAACAGGAAAACCCAACCCUGGUCAUUGCCCACGGACAAGGUAGCAGCAAAGGCCCAAGGCAGGAUGUGGAUGUGUGGCUGUGGCAACAGGAGGGCUCCUCUAAGGUGACAAUGGGAGGGCAGUGUAUAGCCCUGGCCCCAGAUGACAGCCUGCUGGUGCCUGCUGGAACCUCGUAUGUGUGGGAGCGAGCACAAGGCUCUGUGGCCUUGUCUGUGACACAAGACCCUGCCCGUAAGAAGCCAUGGUGGUGACCCUCCUGUGUGCGCCCCAAGCAGCCACAGGGUGCCUGAGUAAUGACCUGGUAGCUGCCCAUUUCCAGACAGCUCUUUCAGCCUCAUUGCAUCUCCAUGGACAUCAGCAGGCCCCUUGAGUGGUUGAGAGCUGUCACUGGCAUCAACCCUCCUGCCUAGCUCAGCCCAGGAUGCCAGACUCCUAGGACAUCAGCAGUCCCCGAUCUUCUAACAGCCAUAGCCCUACACUGUCCCCAUGUGCCCAGCAGCCUGACACUAAGAAAUCUCUCAAUAAAGGCAUCCUGCUGAAUGAGUA